rnacentral:rRNA from 1 species
GUGGGGAAUAUUGGACAAUGGGCGAAAGCCUGAUCCAGCCAUGCCGCGUGUGUGAAGAAGGUCUUCGGAUUGUAAAGCACUUUAAGUUGGGAGGAAGGGCAGUAAGUUAAUACCUUGCUGUUUUGACGUUACCGACAGAAUAAGCACCGGCUAACUUCGUGCCAGCAGCCGCGGUAAUACGAAGGGUGCAAGCGUUAAUCGGAAUUACUGUGCGUAAAGCGCGCGUAGGUGGUUUUGUAAGUUGGAGGUGAAAUCCCCGGGCUCAACCUGGGAACUGCCUCCAAAACUGCAUGACUAGAGUACGGUAGAGGGUAGUGGAAUUUCCUGUGUAGCGGUGAAAUGCGUAGAUAUAGGAAGGAACACCAGUGGCGAAGGCGACUACCUGGACUGAUACUGACACUGAGGUGCGAAAGCGUGGGGAGCAAACAGGAUUAGAUACCCGGGUAGUCC